rnacentral:lncRNA from 1 species
AUCAAAAAAAAAAAAAGAUGCAAGAAAUCUUGAAGCAGAUAAUUUGAUUAAGGCUUCUAAGACCUAGGGAGCCACGACAGUUGGUUAGCAAUUUAUACUGCAUAGUUUCUAGACACCGAGGCUCAUUGUAAGAAGUAAAUUCUGAUAAAAACAAGAAAAAAAACCAUUAUUUUUGCCCUAAAGAAUUUAUAUGACAGAGCAAAAUGUCAACACAGAUAAAAUAACGUCUUAUGAAAAUCCCCAUGGGCUGCAGAGUGAGGGAGGGCCAGUCUGAGGCUCAGGCUACCUCAAGAAGGUCUCCAGGACAUGGGAAGAUUUGCGAGCUGCUUAGGUGAUACGACGAAGGGAGACGGCGUUUAAGUGUUUUGCGUGGCGUGAACUCACCACGACACUGGUAAACAAGCACUCUCCUUUCCUCUGGACACGCAACCACUACAGUAUCAUAUUUAUGUAGGAAGCUGACAGCAGCACCAUCUGCAGAACAAAACAGGUCAGAUAACUGAAGGAAGCAGCUUGAGACUGAGGAGGAGCUUAAUCUUCCAGGUGAUUUACCUGGGAAUCUGUUGAAAUCGAAUUUUAUUUUCUGUGGAUUAUUGAUGGAGGUUUAAGGCUCCAGAGACAGCGAGUGUCGCUCCGAAGGGCUGAAGGGCACUGACUGCACAGGUUGCAGCUCCCCUGCACGCUGGGGAGCGAGACAAGCAGCAGGCCUGCGGACUCCUCCCCGUCAGAGAGCAAGGAGAACUUCAACCCCUCUGUAAACAUGCUGCCCUGGGGCCCCAAGCCCACGUCUUCCCUCUGGAUCGUUUGCUAGAAGGACUCAUGGAGCUCAGAAGCUGUUACACUCAUGGUUACAGUUCACUGCAGUGAAAGAAUGCAGAUUAAGUUGAACAAAAGGAAACACAGGUGCCACGGUUCAGAGAAGUCGAGCGGCUGCCAGGUGUCUCCUCCCAGGGCAGAUGCACAGACCUGCCUAGUCCUCCCAGCAAUGACGCGUGACAGCCCCGGCGAAGCGCUGCCCACCGGGCGAGCUCCCCCGAGCCCUGGGCCGCAGUCUUCAUUGACCCCCUCCUCCAGCCUCCCCACCUCAAGCAAAGCAGCCACUCAUGUAGACCAGGCUGUCAGCAUGAACUGUCUGGUCAAAGCCAGGCCAGCAGAGCCUCAGGCAUUCCCAACGCUCCCCCCAGCAGACUACUCCAAAGACCCAGAGCUCAUCUCCCAGGAGCCUGACCAGGGCCAGGCCCAAAGACAAGCUCUUCUUGGGAAAGUGAGGGACUUGAGCAACCCAGGCCUGCUGAGUUAACCCUUUCCUGCCCACAGGCAGGUGACCAGACUUCUCAGGAAACAUACUAACGGCAUU